rnacentral:rRNA from 1 species
GCGGUGGAGUAUGUGGUUUAAUCGAUGCAACGCGAAGAACCUUACCUGGUCUUGACAUCCCGGAGACCCUUAGGAAACUAGGGGGUGCUUCCAUCUGGAAGAAUCUGGAGACAGGUGCUGCAUGGCUGUCGUCAGCUCGUGUCGUGAGAUGUUGGGUUAAGUCCCGCAACGAGCGCAACCCUUGCCUUUAGUUGCCAGCAGUUCGGCUGGGCACUCUAAAGGGACUGCCAGUGUUAAACCGGAGGAAGGUGGGGAUGACGUCAAGUCCUCAUGGCCUUUAUGACCAGGGCUACACACGUACUACAAUGGCCGAUACAAAGGGCAGCGACACUGCGAGGUGAAGCCAAUCCCGUAAAAUCGGUCUCAGUCCGGAUUGGAGUCUGCAACCCGACUCCAUGAAGUUGGAAUCGCUAGUAAUCGUGGAUCAGCAUGCCACGGUGAAUACGUUCCCGGGCCUU